ensembl:lncRNA CASC19 cancer susceptibility 19
CAAGAUAACACUAACAAAGUUGACCUUAGAAUUGGAGUGCCUGGGUUAGAACCCUGCUGGUACCACCUGCUUACUGCAUGCUUCUGAUGUGAGUUCAGGAGAAGACACUGGCAAGGACAGCAAAGAACAGGAGAACACUCUAGCUUCCCUGAUAGCAUUCAAGGUGCUGUCCAAAGCUCUUGAGUUUCUGCUUUCAAGUGACCCUCAGAAAUUCCUCCAUUCACUGCAGAGGUUCUGUUUCUCCUUGCUUUGUUCUGACUUUACGGCAGAACUAAGCUAAUGAGUUAGUUACUAUGGGUUAUCACUUGGAUUUGAAGAACCAUCAUUUCUAGGCAUUGCUGCUCAGAGUGGACAGCAGACAGAGCAUGAAUGAGACCCCCAAAGAAGGGAAGCAAAUGAGACAAGCCCCACAAUUAUUCUGGCUUUUUGCCUAGAGACAAUCUAUGAACUGUGGGGCAAACAACAGAGAUCAAAACAGCUUGGCAAUCUGAGUUGAGGAUGAAGACACCAUUGGGGCAGAAGCAGCGAUAGCUCAAAUUUGUGGAGCAAAGUACCGGAGAAGAUAAACUGCUCCAAAUUCCAAGAGGCUGGGCAAAGAAAAACUUUGUGGAAAGAAGAAUUAUCAGGGAACUCUAAGCUGAAAAAUUGCCAGGGCUCACACAGACCUGGGGAAUUGGUUGAGUUUAUGCCACCUACAGGAUAGAGAACUUGCUGAAUGUUCAAGGAUUUUGUUACAGAUGCAAGAUGACACUUAAAGGGAUGCAAAACUAACAUCUCUGGAUUAGUCUUAAUAAAGUUUAAAAAUAAGCUUAGAAAAA